rnacentral:rRNA from 1 species
CAGUCGCCACGGGAAUACAGAGGGUGCAAGCGUUAAUCGGAAUUACUGGGCGUAAAGCGCGCGUAGGUGGUUUGUUAAGUUGGAUGUGAAAUCCCCGGGCUCAACCUGGGAACUGCAUCCAAAACUGGCAAGCUAGAGUAUGGUAGAGGGUGGUGGAAUUUCCUGUGUAGCGGUGAAAUGCGUAGAUAUAGGAAGGAACACCAGUGGCGAAGGCGACCACCUGGACUGAUACUGACACUGAGGUGCGAAAGCGUGGGGAGCAAACAGGAUUAGAUACCCCAGUAGUCCCUGUCUCUUAUAU